AUUGAACGCUGGCGGCAGGCCUAACACAUGCAAGUCGAACGGCAGCACAGAAGAGCUUGCUCUUUGGGUGGCGAGUGGCGGACGGGUGAGUAAUGUCUGGGAAACUGCCCGAUGGAGGGGGAUAACUACUGGAAACGGUAGCUAAUACCGCAUAACGUCGCAAGACCAAAGUGGGGGACCUUCGGGCCUCACACCAUCGGAUGUGCCCAGAUGGGAUUAGCUAGUAGGUGGGGUAAUGGCUCACCUAGGCGACGAUCCCUAGCUGGUUUGGGAGGAUGACCAGCCACACUGGAACUGAGACACGGUCCAGACUCCUACGGGAGGCAGCAGUGGGGAAUAUUGCACAAUGGGCGCAAGCCUGAUGCAGCCAUGCCGCGUGUAUGAAGGAGGCCUUCGGGUUGUAAAGUACUUUCAGCGGGGAGGAAGGCGGUGAGGUUAAUAACCUUGCCGAUUGACGUUACCCGCAGAAGAAGCACCGGCUAACUCCGUGCCAGCCGCCGCCGUAA
rnacentral:rRNA from 1 species